rnacentral:rRNA from 1 species
GACGAACGCUGGCGGCGUGCUUAACACAUGCAAGUCGAGCGGUAAGGCCUUUCGGGGUACACGAGCGGGGAACGGGUGAGUAACACGUGGGUGAUCUGCCCCGCACCUCGGGAUAAGGCUGGGUAACUGGGUCUAAUACUGGUAAUGACUUCCUAUCGCAUGGUGGGUGGGGGAAUGAUUUAUCGGUGCCGGAUGGGCCCGCGGCCUAUCAGCUUGUUGGUGGGGUAAUGGCCUACCAAGGCGACGACGGGUAGCCGGCCUGAGAGGGUGACCGGCCACACUGGGACUGAGAUACGGCCCAGACUCCUACGGGAGGCAGCAGUGGGGAAUAUUGCACAAUGGGCGGAAGCCUGAUGCAGCAACGCCGCGUGAGGGAUGACGGCCUUCGGGUUGUAAACCUCUUUCGGCAGUGACGAAGCGCAAGUGACGGUACCUGCAAAAGAAGCACCGGCUAACUACGUG